rnacentral:rRNA from 1 species
UACGAAGGGGGCUAGCGUUGCUCGGAAUCACUUGGGCGUAAAGGGUGCGUAGGCGGGUCUUUAAGUCAGGGGUGAAAUCCUGGAGCUCAACUCCAGAACUGCCUUUGAUACUGAGGAUCUUGAGUUCGGGAGAGGUGAGUGGAACUGCGAGUGUAGAGGUGAAAUUCGUAGAUAUUCGCAAGAACACCAGUGGCGAAGGCGGCUCACUGGCCCGAUACUGACGCUGAGGCACGAAAGCGUGGGGAGCAAACAGGG